UAACUUACUGAUCUCGCCAGGGAUCCAUUUGGGAAGAUGUGCCUUCCCUAACAGCAGCCCAAGACGUCGUAAUCCGCACUAACUGCCUUGUCCCACUGUCCCAGCAUUAAACAGCUCCAGCAGCUGCGAUGGUGGACAGUUAAGAUUAUAUAUGAUGUAAAUAUAUUGUGGGUAUGUCAGCUCCCCCAAACCAUAAAACUUAGUUUAAUGACAUCACGUGCUCACCGAGAGCCAUUCAGGGCUUUUGCUUUGGGCUAUCCACAUAAAUAACCUUCAAAAGUUUUAAACUACUAAAUUCACUUAGAAGCCAUGGGUAUUUCUGCUAAUGUUCUCAGGGAUAGUCAAAGUCUUGGCUCAAAAAGUCCUGGAUUAUUAUUACCAUUGUUGUUAUUUUUCAUCCUCUCUUUUAAAGCACACACACGCACACACGCACUGGAACUUUGGGUCUGUCAUUUUUCCCCCCUUCCCUCGCCCUCCCUUUCUGGUUAAGCGGCCUUUUAAAAGUCCCCACUGUGUUGACACGGAUGACAGUGAAAGGAUGAAGAGGCAAAUUAGUCUUGGAUCUGUGUAGAUGGAGCUUAUGUGUUUCUCGUGCAACGCAUGCAUUUCAAAAAUAUCUUGGUGGAGCCCCCGCUUUCCAGCACUGGAAACCUUCCGGCCUCCUAUAAACGGAACUUCACGUUGGUCAAUCAUUUUCAAGUAACUACGUUGCUUCUGUAUCUGUCCGCACCCCACGCCCCGCACCGCCACUACAGUUCUAUAAGUUAAGUCUUGGCCAAUUAAAGAGUUCCCCCCCCCUCCGAAUCAGCAAAGGUCCAAGGUAACGGGGUUAGGAGGCAGCGGCAGAAACUGACAGCUUGUCCAACUUAGAAGUUAUUUCGAAUUUUCCUUUUCUUUAUCCCUGUUUAUUCCCUGUAAUAUUCAAUGGGAUUUUUGAAACUAUGUGAUGUGUCCCUAUGCUGACAGUACAGGAGGUAAAGAUAUUAUUGGGUGAUUGGGCCAAUUAAGAGCCUCUCCCCCCCCCUCCUUCCCCGAGUUUUCUUCUCCGCUUGCUACUGUGUAAUGUCUAUUACGGUCGGAUAGCCCUGCAAACUUCACCAAAGGAUGUUCAGUUUAGAGAACUUUUAUGGUUGACUUGGAUUACUCCGUUUUAUGGCACGGAAAUGUUCCCUACAAUGACCCCCUCCCUCCUUCCUUUUUGACAUUCAAGAGAGUUGCGGUCGUGACGUCACGUCGAGUUGUCAUGGAGAAUAGCUACCGGCUUAAAAAUUAUAAAGCGUGAUAUUAUAGAGCAACAUAAAAUAUGGAUAUAAGCAACUACUUACGCCCGCGAAGAGAUUAAACAAAGAAGAAUACGAUUUUAAUACGUUCAGGAAGAAUAAUUCAAUGAUGAGGAAUGGUUGUCAUUAUCUAUGAGUUCUUAUUUCAUUUUAUUGUUUGCACAUGGGGGUGGGGGAGAAGGAAAAAUUAAUCUCAGGACGCCAGGAAGAAGAAGAACAAGAAGGGGGAGAAGAAAAUAAAAUAAAUAAUAAGCCA